rnacentral:rRNA from 1 species
UACGAAGGGGGCUAGCGUUGCUCGGAAUCACUGGGCGUAAAGGGUGCGUAGGCGGGUCUUUAAGUCAGGGGGGAAAUCCUGGAGCUCAACUCCAGAACUGCCUUUGAUACUGAAGAUCUUGAGUUCGGGAGAGGUGAGUGGAACUGCGAGUGUAGAGGUGAAACUCGUAGAUAUUCGCAAGAACACCAGUGGCGAAGGCGGCUCACUGGCCCGAUACUGACGCUGAGGCACGAAAGCGUGGGGAGCAAACAGG